UACGUAGGUGGCGAGCGUUGUCCGGAUUUACUGGGCGUAAAGGGAGCGUAGGCGGACCUUUAAGUGAGAUGUGAAAUACUCGGGCUCAACUUGAGUGCUGCAUUUCAAACUGGAAGUCUAGAGUGCAGGAGAGGAGAAUGGAAUUCCUAGUGUAGCGGUGAAAUGCGUAGAGAUUAGGAAGAACACCAGUGGCGAAGGCGAUUCUCUGGACUGUAACUGACGCUGAGGCUCGAAAGCGUGGGUAGCAAACAGG
rnacentral:rRNA from 1 species